AUGAACGCUAGCUACAGGCUUAACACAUGCAAGUCGAGGGGCAGCAUGAACUUAGCUUGCUAAGUUUGAUGGCGACCGGCGCACGGGUGAGUAACACGUAUCCAACCUGCCGAUGACUCGGGGAUAGCCUUUCGAAAGAAAGAUUAAUACCCGAUGGCAUAGUUCUUCCGCAUGGUAGAACUAUUAAAGAAUUUCGGUCAUCGAUGGGGAUGCGUUCCAUUAGGUUGUUGGCGGGGUAACGGCCCACCAAGCCUUCGAUGGAUAGGGGUUCUGAGAGGAAGGUCCCCCACAUUGGAACUGAGACACGGUCCAAACUCCUACGGGAGGCAGCAGUGAGGAAUAUUGGUCAAUGGACGAGAGUCUGAACCAGCCAAGUAGCGUGAAGGAUGACUGCCCUAUGGGUUGUAAACUUCUUUUAUACGGGAAUAAAGUGAGGCACGUGUGCCUUUUUGUAUGUACCGUAUGAAUAAGGAUCGGCUAACUCCGUGCCAGCAGCCGCGGUAAUACGGAGGAUCCGAGCGUUAUCCGGAUUUAUUGGGUUUAAAGGGAGCGUAGGCGGACGCUUAAGUCAGUUGUGAAAGUUUGCGGCUCAACCGUAAAAUUGCAGUUGAUACUGGGUGUCUUGAGUACAGUAGAGGCAGGCGGAAUUCGUGGUGUAGCGGUGAAAUGCUUAGAUAUCACGAAGAACUCCGAUUGCGAAGGCAGCCUGCUGGACUGUAACUGACGCUGAUGCUCGAAAGUGUGGGUAUCAAACAGGAUUAGAUACCCUGGUAGUCCACACAGUAAACGAUGAAUACUCGCUGUUUGCGAUAUACAGUAAGCGGCCAAGCGAAAGCGUUAAGUAUUCCACCUGGGGAGUACGCCGGCAACGGUGAAACUCAAAGGAAUUGACGGGGGCCCGCACAAGCGGUGGAGCAUGUGGUUUAAUUCGAAGCAACGCGAAGAACCUUACCAGGUCUUGACAUCCCGAUGCUAUUCCUAGAGAUAGGAAGUUUCUUCGGAACAUCGGUGACAGGUGGUGCAUGGUUGUCGUCAGCUCGUGCCGUGAGGUGUCGGCUUAAGUGCCAUAACGAGCGCAACCCUUAUCGAUAGUUACCAUCAGGUGAUGCUGGGGACUCUGUCGAGACUGCCGUCGUAAGAUGUGAGGAAGGUGGGGAUGACGUCAAAUCAGCACGGCCCUUACGUCCGGGGCUACACACGUGUUACAAUGGGGGGUACAGAAGGCAGCUACACGGCGACGUGAUGCUAAUCCCUAAAGCCUCUCUCAGUUCGGAUUGGAGUCUGCAACCCGACUCCAUGAAGCUGGAUUCGCUAGUAAUCGCGCAUCAGCCACGGCGCGGUGAAUACGUUCCCGGGCCUUGUACACACCGCCCGUCAAGCCAUGAAAGCCGGGGGUACCUGAAGUGCGUAACCGCGAGGAGCGCCCUAGGGUAAAACUGGUGAUUGGGGCU
rnacentral:rRNA from 1 species